GUCUAUGACCAUACCACCCUGAACACGCCUAAUCUUGUCUGAUCUCAGAAGCCAAGCAGGGUUGGGCCUGGUUAGUAUUUGGAUGGGAGACUAAGAUACAAAGACAGUUCAUGGGGA
ensembl:rRNA 5S_rRNA 5S ribosomal RNA